rnacentral:rRNA from 1 species
GUCAGCUCUGGUAAAAUUUAUACAUGCAAGUAUCCGCACCCCUGUGAGAAUGCCCUACCUAUUCCCCCACAGAAUAAAGGAGCAGGCAUUAGGCACAACACUAGUUAGCCCACGAUGCCUUGUUUAGCCACACCCCCAAGGGAACCCAGCAGUAAUUAACAUUAAGCAAUGAGUGAAAACUUGACUUAGUUAAAACCAAGAGGGCCGGUAAAUCUCGUGCCAGCCACCGCGGUUAUACGGGAGACCCAAGUUGACAAACGUCGGCGUAAAAUGUGGUUUAUACAGUAUUGCACUAAAGCUAAACUUCUUCAACGCUGUUAUACGCAUUCGAAAGAAAGAGAAUCUUCAACGAAAGUGGCUUUAAAUAUUAUGAACCCACGAAAGCUAGGAAACAAACUGGGAUUAGAUACCCCACUAUGCCUAGCCCUAAACUAAAGCAACCCCCCACUCCUGUUGCUUGCCAGGGAAUUACGAGCUUUAGCUUAAAACCCAAAGGACUUGGCGGUGCUUUAGACCCACCUAGAGGAGCCUGUUCUAUAACCGAUAACCCCCGUUAAACCUCACCCUCUCUUGCCAUUCCCGCCUAUAUACCGCCGUCGUCAGCUUACCCUGUGAAGGACUAAUAGUGAGCAAAAUUGGCACAGCCCAAAACGCCAGGUCGAGGUGUAGCGUAUGAGAGGGGAAGAAAUGGGCUACAUUCACUGCACCAGUGUAAACGAAUAGUGCUUUGAAACAAGCACUUA